GGAAAUCUAAAGGUAUUAUUGGGCAGUGCAUUCUGUAUACUGUUGACAAGAAUACUAAUAUUCUGUUAUUUGCAAGAUAGCUAUAGUGGUUCGUGAUGAACAAGUGGAAUGCAUGAGCAUUAUAGAAGUAUCCUACCUAAAGGUCAGUCUUAACCUGUGGGAUCCACUCUUUUUGGUGUCAACCCCGGAGAGUCCAGGUACUUAAGUAAAGACAGCCAUUCUAUGGAGUUUUAUUGAGCUUUUGGUUUAUACCUUGAUUACCUACCUAAGGUUGAAGUGUAUAUAAUCCUUUUUCUUUUUACUAUUUUUGUUGUGCCCAAUUAUGGGGGCUGAGUCUAUAUAUGUAUAUGUUUAUAACUAAAUUUUCCGAGGCAUACUACUACGUAUUUGUUUGCAUUAUGUUCAGCUUAUGAUCCUGGCAUAAUUCAGGUCGCUCAAUGGAUAUAGUUUUCUUUUAUAUGUUCGUUUAUAUUGUCAAA